UGGCGAGCUUGAAGAGGAUCUGAAGUAGGCUUGAGAGGCCGCCCGCUAUGCCGAAGCACAAGAGGUUGUUGGUCGUUGGGUCCAUACUAGGGAGAUCGAGGAGUGUAAUCAACUCCAGGUGGAGAAAGACCAAUAGGUGCUGAAGAUUGAAAGACUUAAAAUAUCAGCUGGGCGCCUCCGAGGAGACCAGGUGGGCAUGUGAAGCUUUUGCGGCUGACCUGCCCGGGAAAUUCGGCGAGCCCGGCUGCACAUCUAUGAAAUACAUCCUGAAGGCGGUUAAAGAGUUGCAUCGGCUCUCACAAAAAUCCAUGGUGAAAUUAUUCCGUGCUUUGUGGCUGGAUGACGCCCUGUCGAAAGAUGUGAUCGUGCUGAUGCAAAUGCCUCAAUGGAGCCAGACGCCAGACGUGGAAGGUGUCGGCCUGCCGAGAAGGUGCUCGGGAGGCUUUGGGCUAUUGCCAAGACACACUACCGUCUUUUGAAGACCGAAGUGCUCGCCGAGGUUGUUCCUAAAGGAGUUAAUGGGAAUGAAAUUAAGUCCGUUAUCAAUUAUGAGAAUGUUAUGCCUGCGGCCCGCUUUCCCGAGCGGGAUUGUCGCCUCGACAUUUUUUUUGAGAACUUUCGCCUCGACAAAAUCAUCAAUGGCCUCGACUGAAUUUUUGUAAACAGUCUAAGAUUAAUUAUGACUUUAUGUAUCCAUGUACAUUGUCA